rnacentral:tRNA from 1 species
AUUCAAAUAGUUUAAAAUUUAAAAUAUUAGUUUGUGGAAUUAGAGAUAUUACUUAGUUUUGAAUU